UUCCGGUUGAUCCUGCCGGACCCGACUGCUAUUUGGGUGAGGAUAAGCCAUGCGAGUUGAAUGGGAUACCUAAAAAUCCCAUGGCAAACUGCUCAGUAACACAUGAUCAACUUACCCUAUAGAGGAAAAUAACCUCGGGAAACUGAGGAUAAUGUUCCAUAGUUGAAUCGGCUUGGAAAAGUUUUUCAAUAAAAGGGAUAAGAAAAAUGGUUCUUAUCUGCUAUAGGAUAGGAUCGUGCUCGAUUAUGGUUGUUGGUGAGGUAAAGGCUCACCAAGCCGAUAAUCGAUAGGGGCCGUGAGAGCGGGAGCCCCGAGAUGGGUACUGAGACAACGACCCAGGCCUUACGAGGCGCAGCAGGCGCGAAACCUCCGCAAUACACGAAAGUGUGACGGGGUUACCCAAAGUGUUCUAUUUAGAACUGUGGUAGGUGAGUAAUGUUCCCUACUAGAAAGGAGAGGGCAAGGCUGGUGCCAGCCGCCGCGGUAAAACCAGCUCUUCAAGUGGUCGGGAUAAUUAUUGGGCUUAAAGUGUCCGUAGCCGGUUUAGUAAGUUCCUGGUAAAAUCGGGUAGCUUAACUAUCUAUAUGCUAGGAAUACUGCUAUACUAGAGGGCGGGAGAGGUCUGAGGUACUACAGGGGUAGGGGUGAAUCUUAUAAUCCUUGUAGGACCACCAGUGGCGAAGGCGUCAGACUGGAACGCGCCUGACGGUGAGGGACGAAAGCCAGGGAAGCGAACCGGAUUAGAUACCCCGGUAGUCCUAGCUGUAAAGCAUGCGGGCCAGGUGUCUAGCGCUCCUUGAGGGCGCUAGGUGCCGGAGGGAAGCCGUUAAGCCCGCCGCCUGGGAAGUACGGCCGCAAGGCUGAAGCUUAAGAAAUUGGCGGGGGAGCACACAAGAGUGGGACCUGCGAUUCAAUUGGACUCACGCCGG
rnacentral:rRNA from 1 species